ACACUUGUAAUUACUGGACUUCGGUGUGUGUGGAGCCAGAUUUGGUGAUUUCCACUCGCCAUGGAUCAUUCUCUUGGACAAGUGGGAUUCCCUCUACAGUAAUUUCGUUCAUGCUGUGAAUCAGUCUACAGCAAGUUCGAGCGGGAGUCGGAGGAUCACAUCGGUAUUUACUAACGGUCGUCGGACGCUUUCCUUCAGUCUGCUGCUCCAGUAUGCUGUGCUUGGAGAGGCGUUCCUGCUGCAGGUAGCUAAGCUACAUUAGCGAGAAGGAGGAGCACUACUGGAACAUCGCAAAAUCAGGAAACCUCCACUCAGGCAGACGUGGAAACCCACCUCUCACUGCCAAGCACUCCCAGGCUGAUCAUGCUUGUGAAGAAGACUUCAGUCUACAACUCUAUACUCCAUUUCUCCAGCUAUCUGUUGUGAUCAGGACGUUCUCAAGUUUUGUGGAAAACACAUUUCCAGUUGUAACUGUUCAUAAGCUGUGUGUGUGUGUGUGUGUGUGUGUGUGUGUGUGUGUGUGUGUGUGUGUGUGUGUG